rnacentral:siRNA from 1 species
CUUAAAAUGUAUUAGAUAUCCAAU